AUGCUCGCUUUGGCAGCAGAUACGCUAACAGUGGAGCCAUACAGAGAUUUUAGCAUGGUCUCUGUGGAAGGAUGACACACAAAUGCAUGAAGUGUUCCAUUAUUUU